rnacentral:rRNA from 1 species
CAUCCUCCAAGGCUAAAUACUCCUGACUGACCGAUAGUGAACCAGUACCGUGAGGGAAAGGCGAAAAGAACCCCGGCGAGGGGAGUGAAAAAGAACCUGAAACCGUGUACGUACAAGCAGUGGGAGCACAGGUUUACCUGUGUGACUGCGUACCUUUUGUAUAAUGGGUCAGCGACUUAUAUUCUGUAGCAAGGUUAACCGUAUAGGGGAGCCGUAGGGAAACCGAGUCUUAACCGGGCGUUAAGUUGCAGGGUAUAGACCCGAAACCCGGUGAUCUAGCCAUGGGCAGGUUGAAGGUUGGGUAACACUAACUGGAGGACCGAACCGACUAAUGUUGAAAAAUUAGCGGAUGACCUGUGGCUGGGGGUGAAAGGCCAAUCAAACCGGGAGAUAGCUGGUUCUCCCCGAAAGCUAUUUAGGUAGCGCCUCGUGAAUUCAUCUCCGGGGGUAGAGCACUGUUUCGGCUAGGGGGCCAUCCCGGCUUACCAACCCGAUGCAAACUGCGAAUACCGGAGAAUGUUAUCACGGGAGACACACGGCGGGUGCUAACGUCCGUCGUGAAGAGGGAAACAACCCAGACCGCCAGCUAAGGUCCCAAAGUCAUGGUUAAGUGGGAAACGAUGUGGGAAGGCCCAGACAGCCAGGAUGUUGGCUUAGAAGCAGCCAUCAUUUAAAGAAAGCGUAAUAGCUCACUGGUCGAGUCGGCCUGCGCGGAAGAUGUAACGGGGCUAAACCAUGCACCGAAGCUGCGGCAGCGAACGUAUCACCCAAGACAACUUUACGGAGUUGACGAUUGACGGAGCGAAGCGACGUCAAAGCGUUCAUUAAAGUCGAGUUGGCUUAGGGAUACGUUCGUUGGGUAGGGGAGCGUUCUGUAAGCCUGUGAAGGUGUGUCGUGAGGCAUGCUGGAGGUAUCAGAAGUGCGAAUGCUGACAUAAGUAACGAUAAAGCGGGUGAAAAGCCCGCUCGCCGGAAGACCAAGGGUUCCUGUCCAACGUUAAUCGGGGCAGGGUGAGUCGACCCCUAAGGCGAGGCCGAAAGGCGUAGUCGAUGGGAAACGGGUUAAUAUUCCCGUACUUGGUGUUACUGCGAAGGGGGGACGGAGAAGGCUAUGUUGGCCGGGCGACGGUUGUCCCGGUUUAAGCGUGUAGGUGUGUGUUCCAGGUAAAUCCGGUUCACUUUAACACUGAGGCGUGACGACGAGGCACUACGGUGCUGAAGCAACAAAUGCCCUGCUUCCAGGAAAAGCCUCUAAGCAUCAGGUAACAC